rnacentral:rRNA from 1 species
GACGAACGCUGGCGGCGUGCUUAACACAUGCAAGUCGAACGGAAAGGCCCUGCUUUUGUGGGGUGCUCGAGUGGCGAACGGGUGAGUAACACGUGAGUAACCUGCCCUUGACUUUGGGAUAACUUCAGGGAACUGGGGCUAAUACCGGAUAGGAGCUCCUGCUGCAUGGUGGGGGUUGGAAAGUUUCGGCGGAUGGGGAUGGACUCGCGGCUUAUCAGCUUGUUGGUGGGGUAGUGGCUUACCAAGGCUUUGACGGGUAGCCGGCCUGAGAGGGUGACCGGCCACAUUGGGACUGAGAUACGGCCCAGACUCCUACGGGAGGCAGCAGUGGGGAAUAUUGCACAAUGGGCGGAAGCCUGAUGCAGCAACGCCGCGUGCGGGAUGACGGCCUUCGGGUUGUAAACCGCUUUCGCCUGUGACGAAGCGUGAGUGACGGUAAUGGGUAAAGAAGCACCGGCUAACUACGUG